AUGGAUCGUUGUAGCUCUUGCCGAAGUGGCCUCCGUCGUCCGGGUCACCCUCUUGGAAUUCGCGGGGCAGCUAUUGGGCAUACUGAUCUGCGGCUUCGUCGUCCGGGUCGUCCUCGUGGAAUUCGUGGGGUAGUUACUGGGCGCAAUGAUCUGCGAGGUCGUGGUGUGGCCACGCCGGAAGCUGUUGGUGGUAGUCAUCGGAGCCAUCCUGCUGUUCAUCGUUCCGUUGGCUUCCCAUCUACUGGGGUUCAAGGUCAGAGUUCCUCUGCUGCCGAUUUGCGUCGUCGGCGUCAAGAGAUCCGACUAGGAAAGCGUCCUGUUGAUUCUGCUAUUGCUCAUUCUUCGUGUGGCUUUGGUUUUCCGGGUGAUACGAACCCUGCCGUUUCCCAACCCAGUUUUUUCGUUGUUGUCGUAGAAUUGUCACGGCAGAUGUCCUCGACCUAG
rnacentral:rRNA from 1 species